rnacentral:rRNA from 2 species
GUGCGAGACCGAUAGCGAACAAGUACCGUGAGGAAAAGAUGAAAAGAACUUUGAAAAGAGAGUUAAAGAGUACCUGAAACUGCUGAAAGGGAAGCGAAUCGUAUCCAGUGUCUAUAAUCUGCGGCAUAUCUCAUUGGCGGCGGUGUGCGUGCCUUGNCUUUGGAAGCGGCUUUUGUUGCUCUGUGCUUUGGUGUUGCGCGUUGGUGCUGAUGCCCUGUGUUGCGGUGGGACGUCAGAGUCAGUUCGUAUGCUGCGGGAAAUGGCUGCCGAGGAGGUAGGUCAGGACUUCGGUCUUGGCUGUUAUAUCUUGGUGGUUUGUUGUCGUGGUUGGGACUGAGGUGCCUACAAUGUGCUUUUGAGUGUGCCGGGUUCUCAUUUGGUGGACUGUUUGGAUAGCUUGCUAUGCUUGUGGUUUUUUCAUCGAGUGAUUGAGUCUGGUGGUAACUUGUUGCUGUUCGGGACUUUGA